rnacentral:rRNA from 1 species
AAGACCUUGCACUUUUGGAGCGGCCGAUGUCUGAUUAGCUAGUUGGUGGGGUAAUGGCCUACCAAAGCUUCGAUCAGUAGCUGGUCUGAGAGGACGGCCAGCCACACUGGGACUGAGACACGGCCCAGACUCCUACGGGAGGCAGCAGUGGGGAAUUUUGGACAAUGGGCGCAAGCCUGAUCCAGCCAUGCCGCGUGAGUGAAGAAGGCCUUCGGGUUGUAAAGCUCUUUCAGCCGGAACGAAACGGUUACGGUUAAUACCCGUGACUACUGACGGUACCGGAAGAAGAAGUACCGGCUAACUACGUGCCAGCAGCCGCGGUAAUACGUAGGGUGCAAGCGUUAAUCGGAAUUACUGGGCGUAAAGCGUGCGCAGGUGGUUUUGUAAGUCAGAUGUGAAAUCCCCGGGCUUAACCUGGGAACU